rnacentral:rRNA from 1 species
UACAGAGGGGGCAAGCGUUGUUCGGAAUUACUGGGCGUAAAGGGCGCGUAGGCGGCCUGCUAAGUCGAACGUGAAUCCCCGGGCUCAACCCGGGAACUGCGUCCGAUACUGGUAGGCUUGAAUUCGGGAGAGGGAUGCGGAAUUCCAGGUGUAGCGGUGAAAUGCGUAGAUAUCUGGAGGAACACCGGUGGCGAAGGCGGCAUCCUGGACCGACAUUGACGCUGAGGCGCGAAAGCCAGGGGAGCAAACGGG